GUAAGGGUGGCAAGGCGCCCGAGAGUCAGGGCUGGAGCUGAAGGUGGGUGACAGGGAGGGGGCGCCCAGGUGUCAGGACCUGAGGAGAAAGAGUGCGCGUAGCGGGAGGGCCCCGAAGUGUCGGGGCGGGAUCCUGGAAGGAGGGAGAACGUGAGGAGGGAGGAAGGGUCCCUGGGGUGUCAGGGAUGGGGGCCAGGAAAGGGGCAGAGAGCUGGAGGCCCACAAGUGGGGAUAGCGGGGGAGGGAGGUUGGAGCGAGUGGGGAACGCAGGUGGUGUCGAGGGCGGGGACAGGGCGAGGGGAGCGGGGCGUGAGGAAGUUGUGGGAAACCGCGCUGGACGCUGAGAAUGUGCGGAAGGAUCCUGAGGGGAGGACGCGAGACAGCGCGAGGAGAGACGAGGAGAGUUAGGGUUGGCCGGGAGGGUGCGAAGAUGAAGCGACCACUGGAGGCUGUGAGGGUGAAAGGAGCAAGAAUCGUCUAGAGACGGGCUGGGCCGGUGCUGGGGCCAAAGGCUUCUGUCUGUCAGGCCCUUUUUGGCGCUCACUCUAGAAAGAAGAGGCGGAGACGCGAAGAGAUCGGAGUUCAACAAUUUUUAUGAAUUUCUAAUCCAACCUCAUCAUCCUAUGGGAAACAGAAGACCACCAAGAACAGCCAGCUGAGACAGAAUUUCACUGUGUUGCCCAAGCCAAUCUUAAACUCCUGGUCUCAAGCGAUCCUCCUGCCUUGGCCUCCCACUGUGCCUGGCCUAUGGACUCUGAAUUUUUUUAAAAGACUGGAAAAAACUUUUAUAAGAGAAUUGGAAAUUUGGACAGUAUCUUGGCAGUAACCUCCUCCAUAUAUUUCCUUGGCCCUCAGCUUACAUCUAGCAAAAUGACUCUACUGGUUCCAGGCUUCACAUGCAUACAACAUGGUGUUGGAGGAACAGAGAUGUUUUCUCUUCCUGGUGUUUUCCCAGACAUUUCUUAGCUGGCAUUUCAAACAAGGGUCCUGAAAUUCACCCUGGUUGGGUCGUGUUCUCCCCUUCCCAUUCCCCAUCCCCACCCUCAACCGAAAAAUGAUGUAAGCAGGGGAAAUUGAAUGUACCAAUGUUUGUUUUUAAACAAGCCACAGACCCCUCCCCAACUCCCCGACUGAAGCUUGAAGUGGGAUCAGCUUUCCCUAAAGUACUUGAGCUUAUGGUAAAGCAUAUAUGUUAUCCAAGUUAAAGUCUGGACGCUGUUAGUAAUGGGAAGGCAAGUAAUGAAUGUUAGCUAUGGAGCCAACAGACAGUGUCCACUCCAUUGUCUUUAAGGCCCAACUAAAGAUAACCUCUUUACCAAUGUCGGUUUAUUUAUUCAUUUAUUUAUUCAUUGAGAUGGAGUCUCACUCUCUCACCCAAGCUGGAGUGCAGUGGAAUGAUCUCAGCUGACUGCAAUUUCUGCCUCCCAGGUUCAAGCAAUCUCCUGCUUCAGCCUCCCAAGUAGCUGGGAUUACAGGCGCACACCACCAUGCCCGGCUAAUUUUUGUAUUUUUAGUAGAGAUAGGGUUUCACCAUGUUGGCCAAGCUGGUCUCGGACACCUGACCUCAAGUGAUCUGCCUGCCUCGGCCCCCAAAGGUGUGAGCCACUGCACCUGGCUACAAUGUCAGUUUCUAUAAAAACUGCCUUGACUUGUUUUGUUUGCUUGUUUUGUUUGUUUGUGUUUUAAUUUUUAUUAUUUUUUUUUAGAGACAGGGUCUCAAUCUGUUGUCUAGGCUUGAGUGCAGUGGUGCAAUCAUAGCUCACUGAAGUGUUGGACUCCCAGGCUCAAGCAGUCCUCCCACCUCAGCCUCCCAAGUAGCUGAGACUACAGGCAUGCACCACCCUGUCUGGCUAAUUUUUUAUUUUUAGUAGAGAUGAGGUCUCACUAUGUUGCCCAAGGUGGCCUCAAACUCCUGGCCUCAAGUACUCCUGUGGCCUUAGCCUCCCAAAGCUCUGGGAUUGCAGGUAUGAGCCGCCAUGCCUGGCCUACUGUAUAUUUUAUGCAUUUGAUAUAAGUCUUGCCUCCCUAAGUAUAUUACAAGUCCCUUGAAGUUAAAGACAUUAGAUUCCUACUCAGUGCUGAGCUGCAACAGAGAGCACUCAAUGAUGGAUAAAAUAGUUUUAGCAUGCAUUCAGCGAUAUAUAUUUAGAAAGUGGAACUAGGUGGUUGAAAAAAGUGUAUAGAUGGGUGGAAGGGAAUAUUACAGCUCUUAGAAUUGUCCUAAGGUGAGAGUAACAAAUUAAGCAAUGAGUCCCUGGGUUCACUCAAGCAACUUCACUCUCUAAAACAAGAGCCCACAGAAUCCCAUUUCUGCUUUCAGAAUGAGUUUGAGGCCAAUAUUAUUUCCAUUUUUUUUCUUUUUCUUUCUUUCUUUUUUUUUUUUUUUUUUUUGAGACGGAGUUUCACUCUUGUUGCCCAGGCUGUUUUGAUCUCGGCUCACUGCAACCUCUGCCCCUGGGUUCAAGCGAUUCUCCUGUCUCAACCUCCCAAGCUGGGAUUACAAGCAUGCGCUACCACACCUGGCUAAUUUUGUAUUUUUAAUAGAGACGGGGUUUCUCUGUGUUGGUCAGGCUGGUCUCAAACUCCCAACCUCAGGUGAUCUGCCCACCUUGGCCCAGCCUCCAAUAUGAUUUUCUAAUAGCUGUGUUUGAUGAUUAUAUUUAUUCCUCCAUCAGUAGCUUUUUUAGCCUUGAAAAUAUCUAUUUAAGUUUCUUAUUUCCUUUGGAUCUAUCAAAGUGUUUUUCCCCAAGUGGCACCUGGGAAAACAUAUUCUAUUCAUUUAUUUUAUAACUGUUCCCUUGACCUCUUUAUUGCUUCCCUAUUACAACCCAAGAUGCUCUUGUAAACCUGACUUAAUAUUGGCAGUCUUCAUCCCUUGCAAAUGGAAGUGAUGACAGACCCAAUACUUUGUGUAAAAAUAUUUUGCUAUUUCUAUACAAAAUAUUUUAUUAAUGGAAACCACAUGUUAUGUAUUUUACAUAUGUUAUGACUUGAAAUUUAUGUUAUGACUUGAAAUUGGGGAAUCUGAUAUGUCUCUAAUAAUAAAGGCUUCACAGUACAACUGUUGUUUGUAGAUUUACAGAUGGCUGGCAUUUUAAUUUUUUAAUUUAAAUUUUUAAUUCAAAUAUGAUUGACCUGAAAUAUUAACAAAAAUUAUCCUUGAAUUGUUGCACUGCAAAAUAAGAAAGCAAAAUCAGCUAUCUAUGAUGCAACAUUUUAUUUAUAAAUUAAGAUUGUUAGCACUCAUCUAUUGAUUUUUCUCUCUAUUAAACAUACUCCUAAUAAUAAAGGGAAGGAAGGAUCUUUGUAAAGUUAAAUUUACCGUAGCAAAGAAUAGAGGUGAUAAUUAAUAACAUGUUAAAACUCCUUUCUAAAAGCAGAUUCAAUAAACAGUAAGUGUUCAAAUAACUACUACAGUUUAUCUUUCUCAAACCUUGAAAAAGAACAUUCCAAGGUAUUAGUUCUAAUAGUUAUUCUGUCUUUUCCACUGGAUUAUUAUGAACUCCUUAAAAACAUGUGAAAU
rnacentral:lncRNA from 10 species